rnacentral:rRNA from 1 species
GAUGAACGCUGGCGGCGUGCCUAAUACAUGCAAGUCGAGCGAACAGAUGAGGAGCUUGCUCCUCUGACGUUAGCGGCGGACGGGUGAGUAACACGUGGAUAACCUACCUAUAAGACUGGGAUAACUUCGGGAAACCGGAGCUAAUACCGGAUAAUAUAUUGAACCGCAUGGUUCAAUAGUGAAAUACGGUUUUUCUGUCACUUAUAGAUGGAUCCGCGCCGCAUUAGCUAGUUGGUAAGGUAACGGCUUACCAAGGCAACGAUGCGUAGCCGACCUGAGAGGGUGAUCGGCCACUCUGGAACUGAGACACGGUCCAGACUCCUACGGGAGGCAGCAGUAGGGAAUCUUCCGCAAUGGGCGAAAGCCUGACGGAGCAACGCCGCGUGAGUGAUGAAGGUCUUCGGAUCGUAAAACUCUGUUAUUAGGGAAGAACAAAUGUGUAAGUAACUAUGCACGUCUUGACGGUACCGAAUCAGAAAGCCACGGCUAACUACGU